ACAACUGCCGCCUAUAAGCAUACAAAUAAUAGAGAUGAAAUAGACAAAAGAUUAGCAUGCCAUGAAAAGUACAAUAAGUUUCUUAUUUAGCAUUUAGAUAACUGUCUUUCCUUCGGAGCAGGCUUCAAAGUUGAACCCAGUUUAGACCAAGAGGAUUAAUUCUUUCUCCCGCAUGCUUCAUUGAAUCUCUCAUUACCAAACUUUGUCUGUAUUGAUGUAAGAUUUGAUUGAAGAUUAGAGCAUUUAGCAAAUCUUGCUUUUCUGCAUGUAUCAGGCCUUUUCAAGCGCAGACCGCGCUGCCCAGUGGUCAAUACCCUUACUUUUAUCCAGUGUCUGCUUCAUUUAAACUUAAUCAACUCCCUCAAUGAACUGGAACAGGGAAACGUCCCUGAGGUAAGAAUGUUGUGCUUUUCUUAGAUAAUUCUUUGCUCCCUCUCCCAAUCCGCUGGCGUUAAACCUAAAAUUGCUCUCUGAUGAACUUAAUCAAUAUGAUAAUGACAAUUGGGGCUGAAUGGCUCGGCCUGUGCUCAGCACGGAAAAGGUAGACGGCUGUGCCCAUUGCCCAAAAGCAACUUCUCCUUUCUCGCCUCUCCUUUUGUGUUCACUUCUCCCACCUUUCUUUCUCUCUCUCCCCCUCUUCCCCCCUCCGUGACACCGACCGCUGUUCACGCUGGAGAAUGAUGCUUCUUUGUGCGGCAGGAGGACUCGUAUGUCACCGCCCGGAGGAGCGGAGCGGAGCGAUUGGCCGGGUGAAUUAUCUGCCUUGUUGCGGUGAAUUAUUUGCGCUGUUUCCUUUCCCAGUCAACAAGUUUCUGAGCUUGUCUUUGAAUUUCCUUAAGUGCCAGAGCGAGGAUACGGUGCUGGGUAGUGCACUGCCGUGCGCUAUAUUUAGAAAGCAGUUGGAAGAGAAAAUGUCCUCAGGAAUCCGGACUGUUUUGUUGGAAAUGUCCCUCCGGUCCCGGCGGUGUGCACGUAAACGCUGGUUCUAGAGACGUGUGAGCGCUUGGCGCUGCCGGGGGGCGCUCGGGCCAUGCUGUUGGCGGGCACACCGCAGCACGAUGAAGCCAACCCUACUUCAGAGCAGCAGGUCCCACGCUGCUGGCGCCGGCCCGAGGCUUCUAAUGUGAGGAAAAACACGCGGUGACAAGUGUGGAAAAGAGCAAGCACUAAAUUACUGUCAGAAAAAUAAACGGCGGAGCGCGGCGCGGGGCGGUGAUUUACGGGGGCAAUUAGUCACCGCCCCACGGAGCCGCUGAGGCCGCCGCAGCAUCCCCUGGGGCUGGCCCCCCUCCGGCUCCUGGCCUGGGCCGCCACCCAGCACCGGCAUCCAGGGCUCGUCCCGCUCCUGCGGCUCAGCCUUUGGCCUACUCCAAAAAUAGGGGUGCGGGAGGAGAGAGGAGCCACCCCAAAAGUCACAGCCUGUGUUUGCAGAGAAGGUGGGGGUUCCGCCGAUCUUCCUACUCGUUGUGGUGAGUGGCUGGUGCCCAGGUGUGGGGUGAUUAAAGAAGGGAUAAGGUACAUGAAGAAUACUCUUUGAGAACGAAGGCUGGAAACCCGCUGGACAGGGUGAGAGGGUGGAGGUGGCUCCAGAGCUGCUGCAGAUCUUCUGGAGGUGCUGUGGGCCAUUACACCUCGCAGUCUUGGAGGAGAGCCAGCUUUGCUGGGAGUGGACAUUAUAGACGUAUCUAUGCUGUUGUUUCACCAGGGUGGAGUCCAGGAGAGAUGUUUUAAUUUGAAACUAGCGACAAAGAAAUGGGCAGUUCAAGAUCUGGCCCAGCCUGGGACCAUGACAGUGAUCCCCCAGCCAGCAUGUUGAGGGGGUUUUGUAACUUUUUUCCCCAUCUAUUGUUGUUGACCUAGCAGUUCUUACUUAGGUGGUGGCUGUAUGUCAGUUUUCAUUUUCCAAGACCUUUAUUGGCCACCUAGGCCUUACGUCCAUCCCCUGAGCAGGGGGCAGCAUUAUCUGCCUUUAGAUGCAUGAUGCCAUUAGACCUGCCAGCCUGGUGUCUGGCUCCUCCAAAUAGCUGGCACUCGGAUAAUGGGAGACAGCCUGAGCUUGCUGCAACAGCUGGUGCCAGCCAGCCCUUCAAGGACUGGUGCCAGCAGCAGGAGGAGUGUGCCAGGGCCUGCUCAUCAAACAGACCGGCAGCCAACCCAUGGCUGCCUCUGUGGGACAAAGGGAAAAGCAGCAGAGCAAGUCCUUCUUGACAUGGCACCUCUUGGGAAAGACAGGCGGGUGUCUUUUGGAAGAGGAUGCAAGCUGGAGGAUGAAGAGCUGGCUCUUACAGGUAGGUAGGUCCUGGUGGUUUCAGUAAGUGGCCUUCCCUCCCUGCUCCACUUUCCCAGCUCUUGGGUGAGAUGGGAUACCUGCCUUUGGGAAGCACUCAAGACUUGCCAAUUAUCACAGAAGCAAAGGUUAUUUUGGGGUCUGCCCUUAGCUGCUUCUUCACCUUCUAGAAGUGUUUUUUUGCAGGGACAUGGGUGUGUGUGCUCAUGAGGUGCUUCUGGUGCUCCUUUUCCUCUCAAGGCACAGUCUCACUCUUCCCACAGGUUGUUAGGCAGCCUCCUAAUAAGUGAUGUGACCAGCAUAUCUCUCAUGUAAUUUUCUUCCUUCCACUGGAAAA